rnacentral:rRNA from 1 species
CGUGGGGGAUAACGCAGCGAAAGCUGUGCUAAUACCGCAUACGAUCUACGGAUGAAAGCAGGGGAUCGCAAGACCUUGCGCGAAUGGAGCGGCCGAUGGCAGAUUAGGUAGUUGGUGAGGUAAAGGCUCACCAAGCCUUCGAUCUGUAGCUGGUCUGAGAGGACGACCAGCCACACUGGGACUGAGACACGGCCCAGACUCCUACGGGAGGCAGCAGUGGGGAAUUUUGGACAAUGGGCGAAAGCCUGAUCCAGCCAUGCCGCGUGCAGGAUGAAGGCCUUCGGGUUGUAAACUGCUUCUGUACGGAACGAAACGGCCUUUUCUAAUAAAGAGGGCUAAUGACGGUACCGUAAGAAUAAGCACCGGCUAACUACGUGCCAGCAGCCGCGGUAAUACGUAGGGUGCAAGCGUUAAUCGGAAUUACUGGGCGUAAAGCGUGCGCAGGCGGUUAUGUAAGACAGUUGUGAAAUCCCCGGGCUCAACCUGGGAACUGCAUCUGUGACUGCAUAGCUAGAGUACGGUAGAGGGGGAUGGAAUUCCGCGUGUAGCAGUGAAAUGCGUAGAUAUGCGGAGGAACACCGAUGGCGAAGGCAAUCCCCUGGACCUGUACUACGCUCAUGCACGAAAGCGUGGGGAGCAAACAGGAUUAGAUACCCUGUAGUCCACGCCCUAAACGAUGUCAACUGGUUGUUGGGUCUUCACUGACUCAGUAACGAAGCUAACGCGUGAAGUUGACCGCCUGGGGAGUACGGCCGCAAGGUUGAAACUCAAAAAUUGACGGGGACCCGCACAAGCGGUGGAUGAUGUGGUUUAAUUCGAUGCAACGCGAAAAACCUUACCCACCUUUGACAUGUACGGAAUUCGCCAGAGAUGGCUUAGUGCUCGAAAGAGAACCGUAACACAGGUGCUGCAUGGCUGUCGUCAGCUCGUGUCGUGAGAUGUUGGGUUAAGUCCCGCAACGAGCGCAACCCUUGUCAUUAGUUGCUACAUUCAGUUGGGCACUCUAAUGAGACUGCCGGUGACAAACCGGAGGAAGGUGGGGAUGACGUCAAGUCCUCAUGGCCCUUAUAGGUGGGGCUACACACGUCAUACAAUGGCUGGUACAAAGGGUUGCCAACCCGCGAGGGGGAGCUAAUCCCAUAAAACCAGUCGUAGUCCGGAUCGCAGUCUGCAACUCGACUGCGUGAAGUCGGAAUCGCUAGUAAUCGUGGAUCAGAAUGUCACGGUGAAUACGUUCCCGGGUCUUGUACACACCGCCCGUCACACCAUGGGAGCGGGUUCUGCCAGAAGUAGUUAGCUUAACCGCAAGGAGGGCGAUUACCACGGCAGGGUUCGUGACUGGGGUGAAGUCGUAACAAGGUA